rnacentral:lncRNA from 1 species
GGGAGGGAAUAGCAAGAUAGCAUGAAGGAGGAGGAGGGAUCAAGAACAGAUGUCACACAGUUUGGGAAUUGACAGCAGCUAGGGAAACCAGUAAGCUACAAAUACGGAAUUCUUCUGGAUAUGAAGUUAAAAUAUCCCAGUUGACCUGAGACUCUGACCCAGGCAGUGGGAGGCGCUUUCUCCAUCCUUCCGUCUGGAAUAGCUGCUCCAGCCUAGAGAACACGCUGCUCGUGUACUCCACACUGACACCUCCAGGCAGCUCAGGCAACAGCAACCCUGCCAUGAACGUAGCCUCCUCCUUGGCGUGACUCGCUGCAGAGGAGAGAAAGAGAAAAAAGAAGGGGAAAACAUGGCAAUAAAGAUAAAUAACAAGGAAGCAGAGAGGAGAAGGAACAUGCAGAUGAGAGUGAGAAGAGGAGCUUUUCAGGGAGAAGGAGGUGAGUCUGCUUUCAGCCCCCAGAGCACUGCUACCCAAUAGAAAUAGAUUGUGAGCCACAAACUUGAGCUAUGCAUGCUAUUCUAAAUUUUCUA